UGGAAUGUUCAGAGCAGUUCUGCCAAGGAUUGGUUCAGAGGUGGUCACGUGUUUUAUGGACGCCAUUUUUACUACCAAAAGUACUUUUGACUAGAAUGCUUUCUAAUGCUUUCAGAUGGCAGUGUUUGAGUAUCGUUGGCAUUAAGUCUUAAUAUCUUCACCAUACAGCGACCCAUUUUCUCACUGGAAACUUUUCUGAUAACGUUAACAUUAUAACGUUUACGUCAUAAGCAUUUUUAGUGAUAAGACUUGUUAAGACAUUUGCAGCACGGAUUUUGUUUCUAACUACCCGGAGAGAUGCCACUUCUGGAGGAGCAGCGAAUACAUCAUACAUCGUUCGUCUUAACCUUGUCUAAAAGGAAAACGGUUGGAACAACUCUGAUGUAGGUAGAGAAGAGUCAGUGGCUGGUGAAGUAAGAGGGAUACAGCUGUCUGCUGAUUCAAGGUCCCUGCCCCGUCGCCUCAACAUCCUCAAGAUCCUGUAGGCUACUGCUGCUGCUCCUUGCUUCAGCACCUUUCCCCUGAUGCCUGACACCCCUCAUCACCAAAUCAGCCCAGUCAACAUGGACCCAACAUGGACCCAAGUCUCCACCACAGUGUGCACAAUACACUAUACACAGACAGGGACGAGAACAAAGGUACAAUUGGUCUGAGGGGAGGACACCGCAGACAGCUGAUCAACUCCAUGUCAUCUAAUCAGGCCAUGUAAAGGACCAUGAAGGGAUG